rnacentral:rRNA from 1 species
UAAAACUUUCAACAACGGAUCUCUUGGUUCCCCCAUCGAUGAAGAACGCAGCGAAACGCGAUAGUUAAUGUGAAUUGCAGAAUUCAGUGAAUCAUCGAGUCUUUGAACGCACAUUGCGCCCAUUGGUAUUCCUUUGGGCAUGUCUGUUUGAGC